UAUAAAGAGUAUUGUCUAGACCUGCUCUAUAGGAAAAGUGCAAUGAGAUAACUUCUGUUAUGAAUUGCCACUAUAUAAAUAAAAUUUAAUUGAAUGGGUAGAUGAAGUACUGACAGACCAUUGUGCAACAAGUUUGGUCCAUACCCUAUGCCCACCACACAAACGGUGUAGCUGAGAGACCAGUUAGAGCAGCAAAAGAGUGGAUCAUUAAGAAUGCUCCCACUGAUUGGAAUGAACCUCUAAAAUUGACCCAGCUAAAUUUGUUGCUGAACGAACCAAAAUUAAGAGACCCAAGCCUUCUAAAUCCUAUCUAUCCUGUCCCCUCUUUCUCCCCAGGAGUUUGGGUGACCAGGAGGAAAGUUAAUUCUGAAGCAGGAAAUUUGAAGACCAAACUUGAGAGACAGGACAUGUUUUUUUUCCAGGAUGGUAACAUGGUCCACCUGAAAAGAUUUGGACAAACUCAUCCUAGCCAGAUUAGGAAGAUAAUCCAAAAUGGCAUCUCCUUAUCCCAUCACACCCAACCCUGAAAUUGACCCUCAUGACCUCUAUAUUCACACUUCAAGCCGUUUGGAUCCUGAGCUGCUCGGGGGACAAAAUUUGGCUCAGAGAGAGCCUUAAAAAUAUAUAAUUGGCUCUUAAAGGCACAAUUCCAGAAAAAUGGGAAAGAACAAACACAAAUGGCACAAAUACAUUCAAAGAACAUGCGCAUGUUGCCAGAAGAAAGUCACCGAGUGCAUUUGGCAGGGUUUUGCAGCAGACCGCCCUGCUGCGUUCCCUGUACCUCAGGCUGUGACACAAGCAGAGAAUUCUCCUAGGGAGGGCCUUCCCAUCUGCAGGUUGAUUUUCUGCGAUAAAUGUUUGGAAAUGUAUGCACUUAAAAUGACAAUUGGUUACUAUGAUCACCCUUCUGGAUUUAAAGGUGAUUGUACCUGUUCAGCUUCCACAUAAGUGGUGCUCCCAUGUGCGGACACAACAAAGCUUGGUCUUUGCAACUAUUUUUCUCUGUUAAGAGGACAAGGCAACCUACAUCCAUUUGAUUCUGAAAAAUUGGGGUUCAGAAAAGAAAAGAGAAGAGGCAAAGACUGGGGGAUGUACAUGUCCGAGAUUUAGGACCAAACUUGCCUCCUCUCCAAAAGAUGAUUAAGACCCGAUUUCCCAUCUUUGAAUCUAACAGACGGGCGAAUAGACGGUCACUCUACAUCCCUGCACGUUGCGUGACCGAUUGUUUCCAUUAAUGAAGACCAAGAAACCUUACGCUGUAGCAUUCCAAACCAUAAUCCUCCAGAUGUUAGAAGGAAUGUUGUCAUAGUUAGCCACUAUGCCCCCCUGAUCCUCGUGUACUCCAGUGUAUCUGCCCUUCCUUGUGUUUCCUGGCUGUCCCCUGUCCGUUGUUGUAUGUGCAUAUGUGUGUGUGUCUGUGUUCUGGCUGGCUUCCUGAUCUCCUGUCUGCUGCUGAUCACCGGCACACCUGACUUCCAUCAUCAUCAGUCUCCACCGCUUAUCUACCGGGCUCUUCCACACUACCGGCGUCAGAUCGUCUUCGUACCUGUACUCACGCUCUGCCGGUGAUCACAGCCUCAGUCUGCCCUCGGAUCUUCUGAACAUCUGUACCACGCCAACUGCCACGACACCCUCGCCAUCUGGAGCGCCGCCAGUCUCGUCUCCGACCCGGUCCGGUCGAGUCCUCGGGGCGGCCACGAACCACGCUGGAUACUUCGUACACCAACAACUAUCUGAACAAUAAAGACUGUUCCAACCUUACCCCGCUCUGUUCCAUGUGUCCUGCAUUUGGGUUCUAAAAUUGGUCUCACGACGAAUGUUUGUUAAACACACCAGUGCAGACAUGGGCAGAAGGCCUAAGGAUAAAGAGCUAGAAUGGCUCAUCCUGCUCUCUCAGCAGAGAGAUCCAGACCCAGUUUUCUGGGUUAAUGAAACCGCUCUAUCAUGCUCCCUUCCUCCUACAGCUACAAAAACUCCUACUAUGAUUCUAAAGUUUCGACUAACACUGGUGAAAGGGUCAAGAGAGGAUUGGGAUGACAGACCAGCCAGGAACUGAACCAGACAUACCUGAUGACACAACUAUAGAACAAAGAGCCUUUCAGAAGAGAAAGAAGAAGCGCUUUUUCGGCUAGCAAAAUCAUGGAAUCUAUGUUAUAUCUACUUAUUUAUUUUAACGCUUGCUGCAAUCAUAAUUUUAUUGGAAUACGCGCAGACAACGACAUACUCCUUGAGAAGAUCGGAUGUCUGUCAAUUAAGUUCGGAAGCCAAACUGGCCUCACAAAUUCACAAAAUCCAGCAUAUCCAAGAAAUACCAUGUACAAGUGCUUUCACAGACGGCGAGAACCAAACAUAGUGUUCAGAAAAAAAAUGAAACCGAAUACAGACAACACAGGAUUUGAGAAAUUAGGGAACAAGGCCUAAAUGUGACCUUAUUCAGCACUUCUGGUCAAAAUGGUAGCCUAUCAAACGUCUCCUGGGGCCCGGACACAAGGGUCUUAAGUGUUAAGAUUAACUCUUAGUUUAAUUCCUUAGUAAACACAACAAACUGUAGUUCAUCCUGGUACACAAUCUCGCAGGCUAGGCCGGUGGUUGACAACUUUGAGAAUGUAACAUUCUUUGACCUUAUGACCUCUAUUGAUGAUACUCACAUUACCACCACAUAUAGUUGGUGAGAAGGAUAAUUUUCAGUACUGUUCUUCUGAGAAAGACUCCUAUCCUUACUAGUUGGAGCUAACUUUGAGAACCAUGUUAAAAAAUAUUUUGAUAGAUCUUGACCAAGAAAUGCUACUAAUCAUCUGUGGGUGAUGGCCCACAUAUUUUGGGAGAAUAAAUAGAUACCCAACACCACUUAUGAUGCACCCUAAUCCACAUUUUGAAAAGCUUUUUCAGGGGAGACAUGACCGUUCGAUUGAUAAGAGUAAAGUUGGUAAACCACAUGGCUCUUUUACUACAGCCUUCACUGAGGCAUUACCAGAAUUUCAACUAGUCUCUCUGUGUAAAGAAUUUCUUAGACAAGCUGGGUUCAUGAGAUAGUAUGUCACAUUACUCCAGCAUAGUAUGGGAAGGUUCUGGUAGAAGACGCCCCUCGAGUUCAGAGACUCGAUGUUGGCCGUGGGUUGUAUCGUGGGGCACCACACAGCUAUUAGAGGUGCCGCAAGCGGGGUAUUUCAAACUGUAAAAAAUUGGGGUGAAUCAACUUUUGGGAAAAUUAGCGAUGCUAUAAUAGCCCCAUUUAGGUGGGUAAAGGGGAUAAUAUCUGCUCUUAUCUUCAUAUUAGUAGUCGCAAUUGUUGGUGUAUUGCAUAGACAUGGCUUGCUACCUCUUGCAAGGUACAUUGGGGCUCAAAGGACUGUGGGCAUUGAUAAAAUUUAGCCUAAUUACUCUCUUUAAGCUGAUUAAAAAUGGUAUAGUUGCUUUUUUAAGCCUCAGAGACCUGUUAAAAGAGGAGCAACUGAGAACUCAGACUUUAAUACUGCCGCCUUGUAUUUUCACUUUGAUUUGUUCUAACUAGUUAGCCUUUUUUUUACAAACUCGUCAAAUUUGGUUUUCUGAGUUAUAUAUUGUUGCUUUUGAAGAUUUUUGCCUACUGUAAUUAUGGCAGAGAAUAACAGCUCUAACCAUAACAUUGAAGGAAAUCUGACCCUUAACAACGAGGAAAUCCUCGCCACCACUAAACACAUUAUACUUCAUCAUAUGGUAAGCCAGCUCCUUGCUUCUGUCAUUUUACUUUUGUGGUUAACGCAAAGGAGAGGCUGGCCACUGAUUAGAGGCCUGAUUUGUUUUUUUUGUAUGUUUCAUUGAAUGUAUAUAGAGGUUGUAACAGAGUGGUAAGUGCCUGGGUCUUGUCUAUUUAUUUAGCAUGCCUGGAACUGAAUGCUUAUUCUUUCACAGUGUGGACUACUGUUUUUAGCCUUUUUGGCAUGAUUGACUCUGCAGUUUUCCUCAUGAGUACUUCUAAGAGUUAUGCUUUUGCCAUCAUUCUAACCGAGUGUCUGAUUAUGAUCUUUGCUUUGGUUACAAUGUGGACAAUAGUUCUAAAUCUGCUAUCAGGGCCAGCAAGACAAAUAAUGAAAUCUUUAUUCUCAUCUCUGACCGUGUUCUCAGCUGGCAUCAUUGUACUCAGGAUUUUUGAGGGUGUAUUCCACCUUCCGAAACCUGGUAUAUUUCUUAUUUCUGCCUUUAUUUGGUACACGCAGGGCAGAGCUAAAUCUAGCAAGUAGUGGUUCAUAUAUUUUGCUUGUUUCGUUAUUACUUUCUUUUGGAUAAAGAGGUGGCAUGUUUUUACCCACCGUAAUUGACAUUGACUUUGGACUUGAUAACAUCCUUCCAUCCUUACCUGCUGCCCGAAGUGCAGGUCCCAUAGAUUGAGAGUACUAUUUCAAACCUGCCUGAUUGGGCUACGAGGGGUGAUUCAGUCGAGGAGAAUGCUCCAGAAACCGCAGCCGAGGAGAGUGUCACCAUUCCUCCUGACACUGAUGAGGAGUCAGACGGAGGCUACAUGUCAAUUGACCCAGUGCCGCUCCCGAACCCUCUUCCAUCGCCAAUGAGGAACCGCAGAGCAAGCGGGCUUGUAUGGAACCCUCGAUGAGUGAUUCCAAUGCUGUUUCUGAGCAGCCCACCAAUGAAGGAGAGGUACUCUCUGCACAGGCGCCAGCUGGUCAAGAUACCCCAAGUGACCAGCUGCUGAUAGCAAUUGAUCCCUGGGGGCCUCUAACCAUGUCUGUUGGGCAGCUUCCACCGCCAGAAUCUAUGACU